GCAAAGAAGAAUCCUGAGAAAUAUGAUAUCGAAGCUCUUACCGGUGAAGAAUCUGAAUACAUAGAGAUGGACUUAAUGUUGGGUGUUGCUGAACUUCACACACAGGAGGCUGUAUCAGCUGCUGAAUCUGCAAUAGCAAGUUACCAACCAGUAAUCGAUCUGGAUACCAAUGAUACGACAGAAUCUGAAGACACUAGCGAUGAGGAUGACAUUGA
rnacentral:misc_RNA from 1 species